AUGGAAGGGAAGCUCAGCCCCGCCGCUCUCCGUGCGCUGCGCAGAGACGCCAAACUGUCGGCGCACUCGCUCUCCGGUGCCUUCACUCCUUCUGACGCUCCUGCGCCAACUCUACGCGCUGACACCCCGAGUCCUCACGCAGAACCGGAUCCAAUGCCCGAAACAAAGCCAGGACCGGGUGAGGGUGUCUGCCAGAGGGGAUGCGGACUCUCGCUGUCCGGGGACGCGGAGCACUGCUGCGUGGACGCGCUGCGCUCCGUCACCGACGCGCUGGAGGGAAGAAGCGCGGGUUUGGAGCACCAAGUCCGGAUGGCGAGGCUCAGGUGGAACAGGCGGGAGCAGUGGCUGCUGGCCCGGGUCACGGCUCUGCAGAACGAGGCCCAGCUCGCUGCUCUGCAGUACCAGCAGAGGCUGCACCAGUACAUGGUCCACAUCGGCAGCAUAGCAGAGCAGGUCAACAGGUACUGCCAGGACGGAUCCAGGUUGGCCUCAGGAUCGGACGAGACGUCGGACGGGGGGGCACGUGCUGGGCAGCAGGAGCAGCUCUCCUCACCUCAGGUAGGAGAGGCCCCCUCAGGGGUCUGAUUGGGACCCUGUGUAGCUCUGCUGGUGUCAGGCUGGGAGGAAACUCCCCACAUGCCCCGUCGUGUGUGUGUGUGUGGGGGGGGGGGCUUGUUUGGUGAGUGUGUGUUGUUGGCAGUUCCUGGAGAUCAUGAUUGAAGCUGCUGAUGGUGUUUGAUAUCAAACUCCCUGUUUCUGGUGCUCCUACGCCGCUCCGCAAUCGACCCCACCUUUUCAGCAGGUGAUGCAGUCGACCCCCCCCCCCCCCCCCCCCGUCUGAAAGUAAAAGCCCCCCCCUCUUGUAUUAAGAACCCAAAAUGUUAAUCGCCGCCUGUUUGCUUUUGCGACUUGGGAUAAUUAGAACGUGAAGUGCUGAGCUGAGUGAUGCAACAAUGGCUGUUUGUUUUAAAAAAGCCCCCCCCCCCAGUUAACCUGAAGGUUUACGGGUCGGGUUCAGGUGGGUUCUGAAGGUUUACGGGUCGAGUUCAGGUGGGUUCUGAAGGUUUACGGGUCGAGUUCAGGUGGGUUCUGAAGGUUUACGGGUCGAGUUCAGGUGGGUUCGCUGGCAGGAACGCUCGCGCCGAGUGUCUGUGAUCAGUCUGAUUAGCGUGGGAACGCUCUGUGCAGCGGCAGCAGACAGACCAGCGGCUAUUUUCAGACUCGUUUAUUAUUUUUACUCUAGAAUCUCCAGAAUCCGACGGACGGGUCAGAACAUUGGCUGAUAUAAUAAAUCUGUCCCCUCCCAGUCAGCACUGGGAAGAGGCCUCACUGGUUUAAAUGGGUGUCAGCUGGAUUUUAGACUCACACGUGAGCACUCAAACAGAAUUCUGGGAUUAUUGGUGGGAAUCUGGGAAUGGCUCAUUAUCAUAUGGAUUUGUUUCCUUUAUCUUCGCUUAUGUUGGUGUGAACGGGAGCGACUGUAGAAUCCUGACGCCGGUGGUUGGACCUCCGGCUGGUCGGAGGCGUUAUCUGUGUUUGGCGUAACGAUCCGGCGGCGUCCAUUUUGAUUUCGACACGAUCGAGGCGGCAGCAGAAUCUCGCCGAUGCUCGUGAGCUGGAGCUCCAGUCGGGGACCGUGCACAAGCGUCAUCUGAUGUUUCUCCACAGAAAUAUUUAAACCUUUGAUGCUGUGAAACAGGGGAGGGUCCGGAUCCGGUCCUCGUGGACCACAAUCCGACCGGGGUUUCUGUCCUACCAGGCGACUAAGGGAAGUGGGAUCCCAGGUGGAAGCGCUGGUAACCGGGUAGGACGGAGAUCCCGGCUGGACUGUUGUCCUCGAGGACUGGAUCCGGACACCCCUGUUUCACAGCAUCGGUCACGCAGAGCGUGCGUCGACUGGGACCCACUCAUCUGGACGCAGACUGGAUGAAAGGAUGAAAGGAUGAAAGGAUGAAUGCUGUCAGAUCACCCGCAGCUACAGACACACGCAGCCGUCCUGAUUCUGCCUGUGCAAAUUGCUGUUGAGCUUGUUUGAAACCAGAUGAAUACGCAGUUAAACCACAGCUGAGGUAAAACAGUCCUCCCCCCCACCCUUUCCCCCCCAGCAACCAACAUGCUCCACAUCCAAACUCGGCUAAAAAAUUUCGGAACGCCGCGGUGCUAACGUCACCUUGCAGCGGAUGGUUAUUUUCAUUAGCGCCGCAUCACAGUGACAUCAUCAAGAGUCGAUCAAGGUCUCGUGAAAGAAUUCAGAGAAGAAGAAGAAAAUAAAAUCGGCGCGGUCUCAAGGAUCCGUCUCAUCAAAUUACAAUCCGGGCCCGGGGAGCAGCGGAAGCCGGCGUGCUUCCAUAACAGAAGAGGAGACGCUUCCAUGACAACAGGAAGAUUGAUGACCUGCUUCUUUUCCAGAUUCUUUUUUCCCCCCUGCAAUAAACAAACAAAUGUCAUCCUGUCCCUCUGGGGACGGUCGGGAAGGCCAGAAUUCCCUGAGAAAUACGGGAAUACGCAUUUCUGACUGUGGCCGAGCACACGAUGCCCGAUGAUGUCUGGAUGUGCGGCCGACCCGGACGGAGGCUGGAGAAAACUCUGCAUAUUUUAAGCGUUAUUCCAGAUCUGACCCAAAAGCCGCGGCUGCGGGGCAAAACCAGCUGAACUUUUCGCCCUUUUGUCCCCGGCGGGGUGUUUAUGCGAGCAGCAGGAGGUGUGAAGGAGGAAACGCCGACGCCAAAGACCACCGUGCUCUCGGAGGCUAAAUCCGUCCCCGCCCAAUCAAAAGGCCCAUUGUGAGUGGAAACCCGGUGGGCCCCGCAGGUUGCUGCUGCGUCACUUAGAGGUUUUAAACCUUUUCAGAAACUGCCCGCUAAUGUCUUUGUUCCGGAAAGACGGCGGAAAAACCUCAGGCCUUAGAAAAAAAAAGCGAGGCUGACGUCAGAGGGGGCCGAGAGCGGCGGUGGCGGCGGCGGCGGCGCUGCAAACGGGACGCGCUCCAUCCCAGACUUUCACUGGUGUCAUGGAAAAGCUCCACGGCGGAGCUGUCAGGCAGCCAAACACUCUGCUUUCUCUCACUGUAAUGAGAAAAUGGCUUGUUGUGAAGUCGGAGCUCCGACCAAACAUCUGCGGUUAAAGCCCCGGCCCCCGGCACCCCCUCCUUUCCCAUCCCGGCGGCCCCGGCCGGGUUCAUCCGGGUCGGUCGUGGCUCGGCCUCGGGUGAGACGCAGCAUCAUCCCACACCUUCAUCUGACGGCGAGUUAAAGCGGCCCCCGCGUUUGUCGACACGAGGAUUAGGGCUUAAUUACAUCUGGGCCGAGGAGCAGCCCGUCGGAGCGGGGGGGU
ensembl:lncRNA